rnacentral:rRNA from 1 species
UACAGAGGUCUCAAGCGUUGUUCGGAUUCAUUGGGCGUAAAGGGUGCGUAGGUGGCGCUGUAAGUCGGGUGUGAAAUUUCGGAGCUUAACUCCGAAACUGCAUUCGAUACUGCGGUGCUUGAGGACUGGAGAGGAGACUGGAAUUCAUGGUGUAGCGGUGGAAUGCGCAGAUAUCAGGAGGAACACCGAUGGCGAAGGCAGGUCUCUGGGCCACUACUGACGCUGAGAAGCGAAAGCAUGGGGAGCGAACAGG